UGUGUCAUACCUCAACAACAUGGCCCGGCGCAAAUAUAACCUCGUAUCCGUUACACCCGAACAUUACUUCUGGAAGAAUAAGUAAUAAGCUUUGGCAGUGACUGUUGAAAUAUAGGUUAUUAUAGUUGUGCUUAAAAAUACUGUCUGCAGAAGUUUUGUGAACCGAAAACGCGUCAUUACCUAAAAAAAGAAAAAAAAGUAGCCUACGGUAAAGUUAUAAAAUAUGUGAAAUGUGUCUUUUCUAUGACCAAAAAUGCUAAAAUUCAGGGCCAAAAUUAUUCCGUAUGUGUUAAGCACCAACUGUCUCUUGACCAUUUCGCCAGUAGGCCUAUAACGAGCAUGAUAAAAUUGUAUAUAUACAGUGUAUGUGGUUUUAUACGCCACUGUAUAUAUCUUGCAUUGAGAAAACACCACUGGAAUCGGAAUAAAGGAAAUUCUUAUGUAAUACAGUUCACGUGCAGCAUGCUUUUGAUCAUUGUCUUGCUGCAUGACCCAGCUGCACUUCAGCUUCAGCUCACGGAUGGAUGGCCUAACAGUCUCUGAUACAGAGUCCGAGUUUACCCAGUGGAGGUGGGUUGUCGAGGAUUUGUGGCACACUCUACAACCUGGUUUCUCAGAGACGUCGGAUUCAGUGGUCAAGAGUUGCGUCACACAGUGAAGAACUUAUCCGAGGCAGCAGAGAGGAGCAGCAACUGGCUGUGGUUGAGACGGAAAGAUUCUGGUUGGGGGUCUCAAGCACAAUAGAAAGAAAGAAAUGCUGAUGUACGGGAAAGUAAGCUGGGCUGAGUUUAGUGGGGGACGGAGGGGGGUGAUGCUGGGACACCAGAAUAACCGUCAAGCCCUCUUGAGGUGUCAUGGGCUAGUCGACGAAACACAGAGGAUGGAAGGUGCCCACUUGAAGACCCCCAGAGAUGUACCCUACUUGGCUCAAUCCAGACGGUUGUCAUGCUGAUGCGCUGGGGAGACCGCACUGUGGUUGAUCCCCGGAGCCAGCAUCGCAGCCGUUGUGUGCGCUGAUGCGCUAAGGAGGCAAAUAAGCUGAUCCCUGGAGCCAGCAUUACACUUCAGCUAUCAACACCACGCAGAAGGAUAUCUACAUCAUAAUACGGAAGGAAAUAUUACGCAUAAUACGCAAAUGGGGGUCUAUGUUUUGUGCAGCAUUUCUGCUGGAGAUUACGUGAUAUUAAGUCAGAAGAACGGGAUCUUGAUUGCUGAAACCUAGCGAGCCACAAGCACGAUUCCUGCUCUGGUUUACAUGGGUUUUUACAGCUAUUUUUAUCGUGAGAAAGCGAUUGACCCUGCCCUUAAAGCCGCGCUGACCAAAGGACGUUCUUUUGCUGUUUUGCUUGACAAGACUGUAGAGUCGAUUUUCAUGUGCAUGUAAACCCAGCCAUUGAGACCUGUCACACAGGUGCUUCACGUCCAGCCGGUGCGGCGCAUCCAGAGUCAUAUAUAUAGAAAUAUAUUGAUUACAUUUAUUGAUGUGUCGACAGUACAUUCAUUGUGUUUUGUUAAAUUUGAUGAGCUUGAUGUACAUUUGUGUUGCAUUUUGUAAUCUAAAAAAAAAUAUACAAAACAAAAAAACACAUAGAAAUGGAAAUAGAUUCUCUUACAAUGUUGCCUUUUUUAAAAGGCAUUACAUGUAUCCAGAAUACAUUAUUUUAUGGGUGUUCUGUUUUAUAGGCUUGUUUUUUAUUUUUAGUUUGCUUGUUACUUUUACAAAAGAACCAGAGCACAUGAGCGGAGUGGAGCUCACAGCUCAAAACCAGAGCAUGUGAACGGAGUGGAGCUCACAGCUCAAAACCAGAGCAUGUGAACGGAGUGGAGCUUACAGCUCAAAACCAGAGCAUGUGAACGGAGUGGAGCUUACAGCUCAAAACCAGAGCAUGUGAACGGAGUGGAGCUCACAGCUCAAAACCAGAGCAUGUGAGCAGAGUGGAGCUUACAACUCAAAACCAGAGCAUGUGAACGGAGUGGAGCUUACAGCUCAAAACCAGAGCAUGUGAACGGAGUGGAGCUUACAACUCAAAACCAGAGCAUGUGAACGGAGUGGAGCUCACAGCUCAAAACCAGAGCAUGUGAACGGAGUGGAGCUUACAGCUCAAAACCAGAGCAUGUGAGCGGAGUGGAGCUUACAACUCAAAACCAGAGCAUGUGAACGGAGUGGAGCUUACAGCUCAAAACCAGAACAUGUGAGCGGAGUGGAGCUCACAGCUCAAAACCAGAGCUUGUGAGCGGAGUGGAGCUCACAGCUCAAAACCAGAGCAUGUGAGCAGAGUGGAGCUCAGCUUUGUUAAUGUGUUUUUUUUGUAUGAAAUACAAAUAAUUUUGAAAUUAUUUUUAUUUCUUAAGAAUAUUGUAAAAAUUGCGGUUGGGCUAAUUUCACAUUUUCCACACAGCCCGUGAAGUUGCGAUUUUCACAGGGUCCUAUGAGGCAGCUGCGUUCCCCUUCCCGCGUCACUUCCGCUGCUGUCUCCCAAGUGGAGUUUUCUAAACCAGGUAGUGGCUGAAGGUACAGAAAUCUGCUGAACGGAGCACAAUAAAAAAAUAACCAAUUAAAAUGUUCAACUACCAAUGGUUUUAUGUGUGGUCCAGUGGUUAAAGAAAAGGGCUUGUAACCCGGAGGUCCCCGGUUCAAAUCCCACCUCAGCCACUGACUCAUUGUGUGACCCUGAGCAAGUCACUUAACCUCCUUGUGCUCAGUCUUUCGGGUGAGACGUAAUUGUAAGUGACUCUGCAGCUGAUGCAUAGUUCACACACCCUAGUCUCUGUAAGUCGCCUUGUAUAAAGGCGUCAGCUAAAUAAACAAAUAAUAAUACUCUGAGACCCUCGGUGAACAAAAAAAAAAAAAAAAUGUUUUCACUGGAUAGAGUUACACCUCAGCCUCUACCAUUUUAAGGCCCCCAAAAUAACACAGUUCAUGACAAUAUUAGUAUAUUAGUAUAUGAUGGCCAUGCCCAUGAACUGUUAAAACAUUACAGAGAUAACCCAACAAAAGUGCAUGGACAUUUUUGUCCACAAGGGGUCCCUAGACCACUGUGUAAACAUAAUUCAUAGCUAAAGUACAAUAUGUUUUGCAUUAUGUGGGAGCCAUAAGUAAGCAUUUUAACCAUUAGCAUUUGAAUUGUAAAAAAAUACCCUACUGUGUGUGUUCAAUUUAAUGCCACUGAUAUGCAUAUUUAUUUAAGCAAUACCUACAGGGUGCAUCAAUUGGAUAAAGUCUGAGAUUUAAGUCAAUGAUAUUAUACUAGCAAGGAAGACUAUUGUCUCAUCAUAUGCAAACUGUGGCUAGCUAUUUUUUUUUUUUUUUAAGUUCCUGCAGUUUAAUUUAAUUUAAUUCAUAAUAAAUGGUUUAUGUUUCAGUUCAACCAAACCAGUUAUACUUCUGUCUCUAUCGAGCCUUUAUUACGUGUGUCGCAUUAUCACAGGAUUUUAAAUCUCAAUGAAUUUAGGCAAAUAGAUUCAACUUGUCAUAAUAUUAAUUAUUAUUUAUUUCUUAGCAGGCACCCUUAUCCAGGGCAACUUACAAUUGUUACAAGAUAUCACAUUAUUUUUACAUACAAUUACAUUAUUUUGUACACAUUAUUAAUUACUGUUCCUUAGAAUUUCCACACUCAUAGCUGGGUGGUCCUAAAAUUACAUAGUUAAGUGCAGUUGUCUUGGCAACUACAGUAUUUGAGGUCCAUUAUUCCAGACAAACAAUGUUCUUGCAUUUAACCAUUAUACUCGGCAACUGCCAUCUUGCUCCAACAGCAAAGCCUGAAACUAUCCUUCACAUUUUUAUGGUAGGCUACUUACUAACAACAGCUUUAGCCUGUCUUAAUCCACGUUGAUAUGAUAAAGGACUCUGCACCCCCUGAUUCAUGAUGUUAUUUAUGCUACCACAGUUUUUUAUUCUGUCUUCAUUUCAUUUGCUUAUGAUAACAGCACUGGACAACUAUUUUAAUAUCUGUAAUAUGUGGCUGCCCCAUAUUCACACAGCUGUAUCAUAAGAGACAAGUUUGAGACAUGUUGAUGAUUUGAUGAAAAAUGUUGGUAUUCAUACAUUUUUACUGUUGUUGGUUUCUUAAACAACCUUUUAUAAGGUUUGUUUUUCAAUUACUAUCAAAAGUGGCCAUUUAUUGUAGGCGAUUGAAAUGUGUUGUAUUGCAAAAUAUGAAUGUUAUCCUCCCUCCCCAUAUACAGUGUUAUUUGAUUUAUCUGAAAACAAACCAUAUUUUUAUAUCAGCAUUAAAACAUGAUACGAUGUGUCGUUUUUUUACAUGUGUUUUACGUGAGUAUGUUUCAGGAUUGCUGUACUUUUAAAUACUGGGCAUUGGGCAAAUGUUUUAAUACAUAACUAACCUAUGCCUGUAAGAGUUUGGGAUAUCAUAAUGAUAAUAAUAUCUGCAGAUGUAUGUCUCACUUGGGUAGGUGCACAAAUAAUAUAUUUGCGUGUGGAAUACCUGAAAAAUUCUGGUUCUUAGAUAGGUGCACACAUAUACAGUAUGAGUUUGUGUGCAUGUGUGCAUGUGUUUAUAUAAAAUAUGUAGAGACAUGGAACAGAAUUAGAUUAUGAGUCAUUUUUAUUUUAAGAAGUAUGGAACAGUAAAAAGGGAAUGCAUUCACUUCAGUUAGGUGAAACAUUGACUCAUAACUUGAUGAAAAAAUACUAUUUACCAGCAUUCUGCAGUUGUUGUUUUUAAACAUAAAGACUGAGUUAAAAUAAAAAAAAGUAAAUUCAUCAAUUGAUCAACUGAUGAAGAUGAUGUUUUAGGGGAAAAAAGCUCCAAUUAUUGAUCGAUUGGUUGAUUUAUUUUAUGUUGCAUUAUAUGCUGAAAAGCAUGUUUGCUAUGUUAGCAGAGAGCAAGCAGCAAAGAGCAAAAUAAGGUAAUAAAGUAUGGAUACUGUAAGCACAAGAAAAGAUACAUUUCUUCGCCAUUGUCAUUCCACUUAAACAUUACAGUAUUUGGACUUAGUUCAAUUUUCUCCUUUACAGCAUGCCAUUGUAUUACCUUAUUUAGCUUUUGUAUAUUAGAAUAGUUUCUUUAUCUACAUGUAAUUACAUUUGAAUACACAACUUCAAAUUCAAUGCGUGCCACAGUGAAGUUUUAAUCUAUAUUACAUGGCAAUGGGCACAUACAAAUGUAACUGUAAUGUCUUUCUUCUUUAGAUAUGUAACAAUGAAUUUAACUCAUUGACUGGUGUGUUUUGGAACAUUGGACAUGCUUUAUUUCAGAACUUUUCACAAUUUAUUUAAACAUCUCACAUAUACAAAAUAGGUACAAUAAACUUUUUUUUUUUUUU